CAAUUUAGAUUCAAUUUAAAUGGGCUUCAUUUUUUAAGUGGGUGUUUAUUUCAGUUUGAUUCCUGACAUGGUUUUGAUUUAUGAAAUGUUUAAUUCUUUUAUGGGAAAUGGGUGCCAAUUCAUGAAAUGGGUCCUAAAUACUUUUGAGCUUCCUAAAUACUGAUUCUUUCUGUGUUUUUCUAUUCUUUUUUUCUUUAUUUGGGAGUGGGGAUUGGUAAGCUGUGAUAAAAAAUAAAUAUAGUUUCAGCAUUGCCUAUUACUUUUUUAAGACCCUGUAAACAAUUGUCCCCUUACUGUAUGUUGUUCAUUUGUUGUUUUAUCCAUUGAAUUUUAUCCCGUACUAUGGUAUAAUAUAUUAUAAAAUAUCUAUACUAUAUAAUUUUAAUCUAUGGUAUAAUGGUAUAAUAUGUUAUAAAAUAUCCCGUACUAUGGUAUAAUUGUAAUCUAUCUAUACUAUAUACUUAUACAUAAAAUUUUAUUUACGAGAGAUUAAAUAUAAAAAUAAAUAAAUAUAAUUAUCAUAUUUUUAAUUAUUGAGAGGUAAACAUUUGGAGGUGUUUGCUAUUUAGAUUUUGAUUAAGAACACCAUUUUCAUAUUGGCGUGGGGUACUCCAAAGGGAAAACACCAUUUUGUUGUUCCUAUUAUUCAAAUGUAUGCUAUCUAUUCAUUUUUUGUGUCAUGGGGUAACAAAAUUUUAGGUAUACUUGAUUCUCAAUAUUGCUAACUUAAACAUUAUUUAAAUAAAAAAUUAUUUACACCGUGCCUUUAGGCACGGGCAUACACUAGAUCAAAUUUUCGCCUGUUCACAUUCCAGUAGAAAUUUUGUGGAAUAGAAUUGGCUGAGAUAUGUUUGAUCUAAAUUUCGCCAUUUAUCUCAGUAGAUCAGUUUGGGCACUUCAGUAUUUGAAUUGGCUGAGAUGUGUUCGAUCUAAAUUUCGCCUGUUCACAUUAUUUAUAAUUGAAUUAAUGAUUGAAGACUGAAUAGUGAUCUUUGAAACAUAAACUUGACACGCAGACCUGGCCAUAAUGCAAAUGAAGAUGUUCACUUGACAGUGAGGAAAUCUACAGCAGAUCUGGCCAUAGAGCAAAUGAAGAUGUUCACUUGAUAGUGAGGAAAUCUCCAGUCCUCGAUUUCUGCCUCUCGAACUCGGCUCGCAAGGAAAUUUCAACAUUGUCGAGGAAGCAUCAUUGUAUCAGUGAACUUUCGGUUCAGUUCUUAUCCUCGAGACAGUGAGUCUUCGCUCUCAAUUUUUAGAUUUGAUACAUUGAUUUCAAUAAAUUUCUUGAUUUCUAAUUUAUCUUAUUUGAAAUAUUGCAUUCCAGUAUAAAAAUUGUUAAUUUCUGUGUUUGAUAUUAAAGAUUUAGAUUUUGUAACAAUUUUAUUUGAUGUAAAAAUGUGAAACAACACAUCUAGCAAAAAAUCAACUCAAACAAAAGGAAACAAGUCACCAAUUCC